AAGUCGUAACAAGGUUUCCGUAGGUGAACCUGCGGAAGGAUCAUUAACACUUAAAAUAAAAACAAUUUCCCUUUUGAAUCCCUCUCUUUUCUUUUCUCUUUCUCUUCUCUUCGGAGGGGAGACUGGGGAAGUCAAGAGAUUUUCAAAUUUAAUUUGAACAAAAAUGUGUAACCUUACUUUUUUACUUAUGGAUUUGAGGGCACAAGUGAGGGGGUUUUCUCUCUCUUUGUGGUUCUCAGAUUUUCUCAUAAACCAGUUAAACCCAAAAACAAAAUAUGGCGUAUCUCAAAGGGACUUUUUGUCUCUCUGACGAUCCCCCAUAGUUAAACCAAAAACCAAAAACAAAAACAAAAAAAAACAAAAUAAAACACAACUCUUAACAAUGGAUAUCUUGGUUCUCGC
rnacentral:misc_RNA from 1 species